rnacentral:rRNA from 1 species
GGGCCCGCACAAGCGGUGGAGUAUGUGGUUUAAUUCGAUGCAACGCGAAGAACCUUACCAGGGUUUGACAUCCUGCGAAUCUCUUGGAAACAGGAGAGUGCCUUCGGGAACGCAGAGACAGGUGCUGCAUGGCUGUCGUCAGCUCGUGUUGUGAAAUGUUGGGUUAAGUCCCGUAACGAGCGCAACCCUUGUCCUUAUUUGCCAGCGCGUAAUGGCGGGAACUCUAAGGAGACUGCCGGUGACAAACCGGAGGAAGGUGGGGACGACGUCAAGUCAUCAUGGCCCUUACGAGUAGGGCUACACACGUGCUACAAUGGUCGGUACAAAGGGUUGCCAACUCGCGAGAGUGAGCCAAUCCCGAAAAGCCGAUCUCAGUCCGGAUCGGAGUCUGCAACUCGACUCCGUGAAGUCGGAAUCGCUAGUAAUCG